rnacentral:rRNA from 1 species
UCAGGAUGAACGCUAGCUACAGGCUUAACACAUGCAAGUCGAGGGGCAGCAUGGAACUUAGCUUGCUAAGUUUCGAUGGCGACCGGCGCACGGGUGAGUAACACGUAUCCAACCUACCGUUUACUACGGGAUAGCCUUCUGAAAAGGAGAUUAAUACCGUAUGGCAUUCUAAAGUUUCAUGACAUUAGAAUUAAAGGUUUACCGGUAAUCGAUGGGGAUGCGUUCCAUUAGAUAGUAGGCGGGGUAACGGCCCACCUAGUCAGCGAUGGAUAGGGGUUCUGAGAGGAAGGUCCCCCACAUUGGAACUGAGACACGGUCCAAAUCCUACGGGAGGCAGCAGUGAGGAAUAUUGGUCAAUGGGCGCGAGCCUGAACCAGCCAAGUAGCGUGAAGGAUGACUGCCCUAUGGGUUGUAAACUUCUUUUAUAAAGGAAUAAAGUGGUCCACGUGUGGAUUUUUGUAUGUACUUUAUGAAUAAGGAUCGGCUAACUCCGUGCCAGCAGCCGCGGUAAUACGGAGGAUCCAAGCGUUAUCCGGAUUUAUUGGGUUUAAAGGGAGCGUAGAUGGAUGUUUAAGUCAGUUGUGAAAGUUCGGGGCUCAACCCCGGAAUUGCAGUUGAUACUGUAUAUCUUGAGUACAGUUGAGGUAGGCGGAAUUCGUGGUGUAGCGGUGAAAUGCUUAGAUAUCACGAAGAACUCCGAUUGCGAAGGCAGCUUACUAAGCUGUAACUGACAUUGAGGCUCGAAAGUGUGGGUAUCAAACAGGAUUAGAUACCCUGGUAGUCCACACGGUAAACUAUGGAUACUCGCUGUAGGCGAUACACAGUCUGCGGCCAAGCGAAAGCAUUAAGUAUCCCACCUGGGGAGUACGCCGGCAACGGUGAAACUCAAAGGAAUUGACGGGGGCCCGCACAAGCGGAGGAACAUGUGGUUUAAUUCGAUGAUACGCGAGGAACCUUACCCGGGCUUAAAUUGCAACUGAAUAGCUGAGAGAUCAGUUAGCUAGCAAUAGCAGUUGUGAAGGUGCUGCAUGGUUGUCGUCAGCUCGUGCCGUGAGGUGUCGGCUUAAGUGCCAUAACGAGCGCAACCCUUGUCGAUAGUUACUAACAGAUAAUGCUGAGGACUCUAUCGAGACUGCCAUCGUAAGAUGUGAGGAAGGUGGA